ACAAACUUGGUCAUUUAGAGGAAGUAAAAGUCGUAACAAGGUCUCCGUUGGUGAACCAGCGGAGGGAUCAUUACCGAGUUUACACUCCCAAACCCCUGUGAACCUAUACCUCUGUCGUUGCUUCGGCGGGUCUUCGCCCCGGACGCCGCCCUCCCGCGAGGGAGGCUGGCACCGGAACCAGGCGCCCGCCGGGGGACCCAAACUCUUCUGUGUCUUAGAAUGCAUGUCUGAGUGGAUUUUUAGUAUCAAAUGAAUCAAAACUUUCAACAACGGAUCUCUUGGUUCUGGCAUCGAUGAAGAACGCAGC
rnacentral:misc_RNA from 1 species